UUAAUGGAGAGUUUGAUCCUGGCUCAGGACGAACGCUGGCGGCGUGCCUAAUACAUGCAAGUCGAGCGGAGUUAUUCCUUCGGGGAUAACUUAGCGGCGGACGGGUGAGUAACACGUAGGCAACCUGCCUGUAAGACUGGGAUAACUACCGGAAACGGUAGCUAAGACCGGAUACACGAUUUGAUCGCAUGAUCGAAUUGGGAAAAGCGGAGCAAUCUGCUACUUACAGAUGGGCCUGCGGCGCAUUAGCUAGUUGGUGGGGUAACGGCUCACCAAGGCGACGAUGCGUAGCCGACCUGAGAGGGUGAACGGCCACACUGGGAHGCUNDGRYANAGUAUHNAUSSGYAS
rfam:Paenibacillus selenitireducens strain ES3-24 ES3-24_scaffold7, whole genome shotgun sequence.